rnacentral:rRNA from 1 species
UGGGGCCCAGAUCGUUUACCGUGAAAAAAUUAGAGUGUUCAAAGCAGGCAGAUCCAAUUUUCUGCCACCGAAUACAUUAGCAUGGGAUAAUGGAAUAGGACCCUGUCCUCCUAUUUUCAGUUGGUUUUGGCAGCGCGAGGACUAGGGUAAUGAUUAAUAGGGAUAGUUGGGGGCAUUAAUAUUUAAUUGUCAGAGGUGAAAUUCUUGGAUUUAUGAAAGAUUAACUUCUGCGAAAGCAUCUGCCAAGGAUGUUUUCAUUAAUCAAGAACGAAAGUUAGGGGAUCGAAGACGAUCAGAUACCGUCGUAGUCUUAACCAUAAACGAUGCCGACCAGCGAUUAGGAGACGUUGAAUACAAAACACCACCAUCGGUGCGGUCGUCCUUGGCGGUUGGUCUUCAAAAGCCAGCGGCGGGGGUGGCUUAGCCCGGUGGCACCGGUGAAUGACUCCCCUAGCAGCUUGUGAGAAA